AAAUUCACGCCGGACUCCAAAAAAAAAGGAAAAGGAUUUCUGCCCGUAUGGUCGAAAAAUAUUUUGAAAAUAUUUGAUACAAAACAAGGUUCAUUUCUGAGUACUUUAAGUCAAGAAAAGGCGUCAGGAAAAAGUUCUUCAUCACCGAAACUGUUAUGCCAGGGACAUUAGCAACUUCUUAACAUCGCUCAAAACCCCAAUACAGAAAAUAUUAUGAAGUUCAGAAGAAAAUUAUUGCUGCUUUGGUUAUACGCUUCAACGUUAAUCCAUUGGUGUUAUACAGCAAUCAAUCACAAGCCAUAUAUCCCUGAUGAUGUCAACGUUAU